rnacentral:rRNA from 1 species
UACGUAGGGUGCGAGCGUUAAUCGGAAUUACUGGGCGUAGAGCGUGCGCAGGCGGCGCGUUAAGACAGGUGUGAAAGCCCCCGAGCUUAACUUGGGAAUUGCGCUUGUGACUGGCGUGCUGGAGUGUGGCAGAGGGAGGUGGAAUUCCACGUGUAGCAGUGAAAUGCGUAGAGAUGUGGAGGAACACCGAUGGCGAAGGCAGCCUCCUGGGCCAGCACUGACGCUCAUGCACGAAAGCGUGGGGAGCAAACAGG